UAGCUUGCUAAGGCUGAUGGCGACCGGCGCACGGGUGAGUAACACGUAUCCAACCUGCCGUCUACUCUUGGCCAGCCUUCUGAAAGGAAGAUUAAUCCAGGAUGGCAUCAUGAGCUCACAUGUCCGCAUGAUUAAAGGUAUUUUCCGGUAGACGAUGGGGAUGCGUUCCAUUAGAUAGUAGGCGGGGUAACGGCCCACCUAGUCAACGAUGGAUAGGGGUUCUGAGAGGAAGGUCCCCCACAUUGGAACUGAGACACGGUCCAAACUCCUACGGGAGGCAGCAGUGAGGAAUAUUGGUCAAUGGGCGAUGGCCUGAACCAGCCAAGUAGCGUGAAGGAUGACUGCCCUAUGGGUUGUAAACUUCUUUUAUAAAGGAAUAAAGUCGGGUAUGCAUACCCGUUUGCAUGUACUUUAUGAAUAAGGAUCGGCUAACUCCGUGCCAGCAGCCGCGGUAAUACGGAGGAUCCGAGCGUUAUCCGGAUUUAUUGGGUUUAAAGGGAGCGUAGAUGGAUGUUUAAGUCAGUUGUGAAAGUUUGCGGCUCAACCGUAAAAUUGCAGUUGAUACUGGAUGUCUUGAGUGCAGUUGAGGCAGGCGGAAUUCGUGGUGUAGCGGUGAAAUGCUUAGAUAUCACGAAGAACUCCGAUUGCGAAGGCAGCCUGCUAAGCUGCAACUGACAUUGAGGCUCGAAAGUGUGGGUAUCAAAC
rnacentral:rRNA from 1 species